rnacentral:rRNA from 1 species
UUGAUGACGAGUGGCGGACGGGUGAGUAAUGCUUGGGAAUCUAGCUUAUGGAGGGGGAUAACUACGGGAAACUGUAGCUAAUACCGCGUAGUAUCGAGAGAUGAAAGUGUGGGACCUUCGGGCCACAUGCCAUAGGAUGAGCCCAAGUGGGAUUAGGUAGUUGGUAGGGUAAAGGCCUACCAAGCCUGCGAUCUCUAGCUGGUCUGAGAGGAUGGCCAGCCACACCGGGACUGAGACACGGCCCGGACUCC